rnacentral:rRNA from 1 species
AGCGGCGGACGGGUUAGUAACGCGUGGGAACGUACCCUUCUCUGCGGAAUAGCCACUGGAAACGGUGAGUAAUACCGCAUACGCCCUUCGGGGGAAAGAUUUAUCGGAGAAGGAUCGGCCCGCGUUAGAUUAGAUAGUUGGUGGGGUAAUGGCCUACCAAGUCUACGAUCUAUAGCUGGUUUUAGAGGAUGAUCAGCAACACUGGGACUGAGACACGGCCCAGACUCCUACGGGAGGCAGCAGUGGGGAAUCUUAGACAAUGGGCGCAAGCCUGAUCUAGCCAUGCCGCGUGUGUGAUGAAGGUCUUAGGAUCGUAAAGCACUUUCGCCAGGGAUGAUAAUGACAGUACCUGGUAAAGAAACCCCGGCUAACUCCGUGCCAGCAGCCGCGGUAAUACGGAGGGGGUUAGCGUUGUUCGGAAUUACUGGGCGUAAAGCGUACGUAGGCGGAUCAGAAAGUAAGGGGUGAAAUCCCAGGGCUCAACCCUGGAACUGCCUCUUAAACUCCUGGUCUUGAGUUCGAGAGAGGUGAGUGGAAUUCCAAGUGUAGAGGUGAAAUUCGUAGAUAUUUGGAGGAACACCAGUGGCGAAGCGGCUCACUGGCUCGAUACUGACGCUGAGGUACGAAAGUGUGGGGAGCAAACAGGAUUAGAUACCCUGGUAGUCCACACCGA